UGAACCUGAGAGUUUGAUCCUGGCUCAGAGCGAACGCUGGCGGCAUGCUUAACACAUGCAAGUCGCACGAACCUUUCGGGGUUAGUGGCGGACGGGUGAGUAACGCGUAGGAACCUAUCUGGAGGUGGGGGAUAACAUCGGGAAACUGGUGCUAAUACCGCAUGAUGCCUGAGGGCCAAAGGAG
rnacentral:rRNA from 1 species